rnacentral:lncRNA from 1 species
CCCUCUUAGGCAGUCAGUGGGCCCCCACUUAUGAAAAUUUCUAGAUCCGCCACUGUAAGUGCAUGGUGGUCACUCUUUUGUAAUAAUUUGAUUUUUCCAGAGACAUAUAAUACAAAAUGUAUAACAUGUGUCUGAUUUUUCUAACAGAUUGGAUUUGAAUAGGCAUUCAUAUUUUCCCGCCCUCGAUAAUGUCCGCGUACUUAUCACGAGGGGGUUUGUAGGGGUCCUGGGUGAUCCCGAAAUCCCGGGCUUAAAAACAUGAAAUCCCGAGGUCUCGAAUUUAAAUAAAUUUACAUCCCGAAAUUCGAAACAAGAAAUCCCGGAUCGGGUCAAUCCACUAAUUCCGCGCUUAAAAAUACCCGAUCCCGGAAUCCCGAUAAAAGUCCUAUCUCCCCUCUAUCAUGUUUAUAGAUCGGUUACAAUCGCAACACGAACGUUACAUAAUGGAGAUCUAGUCCACAGCAAUACACCGGAAUGCCGUCACUGUCAUCCGAUGUAAAAUGGUAAAGAUAAAAAAGUUUUUCUACAUGAACUUGAACCUUUUUAUUUAAAAAUCGGAAUGCGUUUUUUUUCCCUCAAAAUGUACACCAACACGUUGUGAUUGGCUAACAACGGGGAGGGUCUAAAACGCGGAAAUGGAAAACGCGGAAGAGAAAAAUUGGUGUAUUAUAACUGAUAUCUUUGGAACCGCUAAAGCUAAAUUAAUAAAUAAAACUGAUUUUGAAAGCUAACAUAAUGGUCUAUAAGAUAAAAUUAAAAAAAUAUAUAUUUGAAUAUGUUCUUUUAUCGAAAAGUUGACCGGAAGACUUUCUUUGUGUGAAUCAGGCAACACAUUUUUGUACAUUAAAACUUAAAUUCACAAAAAAGCUUAUAACCCGGUCAAAGUCUGUAAAUUGACUCUUAAAGAUAUUUAAAUGACAAACAAUAUGAUAUAAAGAACAAAAUAGAUAUAUUACUAUAAAAGGGCAAAAAGUUGACCGGAAGGCCCCUUUGUACACAAAUAUUGAAGUGAAAAUUUCAACUUUGAACUUGCUAUUUCUAUUACAUUUAAUUUAAUUUCAAUAGUAUCAACAUACUUAUACAUGAAUGAGCAGUUAGAGAAAAUGAACAAGAAGUCCUUAUUACAUACAGACAAACAAAACCUGGAGAGAUUUGUUUAUUUUAUGUGAAAAUGACAAUAAGAAAGUCGUAGUAUGAUCGUAGUCAGGUAGUAGGAAGAGCGCGAUGAGGGCGGCAAGGUCGUGCUAGAAUCGUACUAUAAUGGUCUUGAACAGCGUGGUUUAAACGGGGUAUAGUCGUAGUUAAAGUGAGUUGGGUCGAGGUGAGAACGCGAUGGUUGUUGUGAGGUCGUAAUAACGUCGCUGUGAGAUCGUAGCGCAGUCUCUCCGAAUAGAAUCACGCCUUCACUACGCCCUCGCUACGAUGGUACAGCGACCUUUGAGAUCUUACCACGAUCUUACUGCAAUCUCACUACACUUCUUCUACGACAUGAUUUCGCCACGACCGCACAACGUUUUUUUUUAACAUGUUCAAAGUUGGCCACGCUCAUCACGAUCACCAAGACAUCACCACGACCGUACUACGACCUUACUGCGAUCUGCACGAUCGGUAUUUGCUGUUGAGUUGCUGUCUUAAGCCCCAGUCCCACUAGACCACAAUCGCACCACGCUCACGGCGAUCUAAAACAAAUUUAGAUCGUGGUGAGGUCGUGGUAUGAUCGGCAUAAAAAUGUUAAUUUUCGUUGCUUUCACGAUGCUACUACGUCCUAAUUACGCUUCUACAACGAUCCCGCUACGACUAAACCACGUUCAAACCGCGCUUAUUUUGCGACCUCACUACGCUUAUAAAGAUCUUUUUACGCUCUUCACGCUCUCACUACGACCAUACCACGAGUUAUCCGAUUGCAACACGAUCUUACUGCGAUUAUAGCACGUUCUUACAUGUACCACGAUUAUACUACGUUCAUACCGCGAUCUUACUACGUUCUCAGCAAUACCGUCAAUAUCGUGUUUCAUAUCAAUAUAGUUCCAUUCCCUCUAUUUCUGAUUAAAACGGAGAUUUCUCGGAAACAAUACAGUCAUGCCACCGAAAUCUACUAGAACACGUGGGCAUGGUGGUAGGGGUUGAUGUAGAGGCAGAGGGAGCAAAGUAUAAACGCCAUACUAAACUCCAAAUAGUACACAAGAAACUAAAGUUAAAAAUAAUACAAGACUGACAAAGGCUCCUGACUUGGGACAGACGCAAAAAUAGUGGGGUUAAACUAGUUUGUGAGAAAUCAAUCCUCCCCAUAUACCUCUAGCCAAUGAAGAAAAGUAAACGAAUAAUAAUACGCACAUUAAAAUUCAGUUCAAGAGAAGUCCGAGUCUGAUGUCAGAAGUCAGAAGAUGUGACUAAAGAAAAUAAACAAAAUGACAAUAAUGCAUAAAUAACAACAAACUACUAGCAGUCAACUGACAUGCCAGCUCCAGACCUAAUUAAACUGAUACUAUACACAUAAGUAGUAUAAUACUUGUCAUCAAGAGAUGUCGGAAGGACCAAUCAAACCUAAAUUACAACCUAUUGCUGGUCCAUAAAGCUCAAAUGACGAUAUUUUAGUGAACGAUAGCAAAGAUGACACAGGUGUGUCAAUAUAUAUAGGAAGAUGUGGUAUGAGUGCCAAUGAGACAACUCUCCAUCAACGUAAAAAUCUAUAAAAGUAAACCAUUAUGUACCAAGGUACGGCCUUCAAUACGGAGCCUUGGCUCACUACGAAUAGCACGCUAUAAAGGGCCCAAAAAAUACUAAUGUUAAACCAUUUAAACGGGAAAAACCAACGGUCUAAUCUAUAUAAAAACGAGAAGCAUGAUUGAGCUGUUAGAGCAAAUGGAUAAAUACAUUCAGACAAACAAAAUCUAGGGAGUUUUUUUAUAUAUUUUAUGUGAAAAUGACAAUAAAAAUGAUGGUCGUAGUGUGAACGUAGUAAGUUCGUGAGAAGAGCGUGAUGAGGACGGCAAGGGCGUGCUAGAAUCGUACUAUGGUCGUGAACAGCGUGGUAAAGUCGUAGUGGAAGCGUAGUUGGGUCGCGGUGAGAACGUGAUGGUCGUAGUAAGGUCGUAAUAACGUCGCUGUGAGAUCGUAGCGCAAUCUCUCCGAAUAGAAUCACGCUUUCGCUACGCUCUCGCUACGAUUGUACAACGACCUUUGCGAUCUUACUACGAUCUUAGUGCGCUCUCACUACGCUUGUACUACGACCUAAUUUCGCCACGACCGCACCACGAUUGUUUUGAACAUGUUCAAAGUUGGUCACGCUCUUCACGAUCUUGAAGACCUCACCACGACCGUGGUACGACCUUACUGCGACCUACACGAUCAUCAAAAUUUGCAUUUUUUUCACAGAUCGUAGUGCGAUCGUGGCCUAGUGGGACUGGGGUAUUAUUGGCGUAUACUCCUUAUCUCAUUUUAUUCAUACAGUUUAAAUUCCGUUUGGAAAAUUAUGCUCCUUAUUUGGUCUUUGGUGGAGAGUUGUUUCAUUUGCAAUUAUACCGCAUUUUCUUAUUUUUUAUCCUAAUUAAAUUUAGUUCAAGAAAAAGGCCCUGAACAGGACUAAAUAUUAAAAGAAAAAAACGAGAAUGUGUACAAAGUACACGGAUGCCCCACUCGCACUGUCGUUUUAUAUCUUUAAUGUGCCGUGAAAUUGGGAUAAAAACACUAAUUUGACAUUUAAAUUAAAACGGACGAACGAAAAUGGGGCAUAAAAACACCUUGAUCAUUUUCAUUUAGCACACAACUAAUUCAAAGUAAAUUUGGAUAAUUGGAAACUUUCAUUUUUCAAAGAUUACAAGGCAUAAUCAUCUAGUUUGAAUUUAGGAAACUGAUACUUUUUAUUAUCUUCGUCGAUGUAGGAAGGAGCUUGUUGUUUGCUUCUCGUCCAGUGGCAAAUAUUUAAUAGAUAUCCAAUGAAUUAGUACAUAUAUCUAAUAAAAACACAGACAAAGUAAAACUUUGCCAAGAAUGAAGGGCUAGAAAUUAAUGUAUUUAUACUUAUAUUACAUAUGUUUCUCUGUAAACUUGAACUCAGUUUUCAGAGAAUGAAAUAUUAUUAGUUACAUAGUGUGCUAGUGACCUAAUACGGUAUAUAUGGGGUCAGUAAAUUCCAUAUGGGGUGAGAGCGAAGCUCGAAUCCCCAUAUGGAAUUUACUGACCCCAUAUAUACCGUAUUACGCCACUAGCACACUAUGUAACGAAUUUAUCUUACCGACUAUCUUAACGUGUGAAAUUAAGACUAGUGAUUCUCAAAAUCCUCAAAUACUGUUAGCGCUAAGAAAAUACUUCCAUUGAUCCUACAAAAACAGAUGCCAGCAAUAACGACUUGUAAGGUUAAAUGUGUUUUAUGAAUUUGUUCAAUCUUAAUCAUCAAUUCUUCGUCUGUUGGAACUUUUAAGAUUUUUUCUCAGUACCGUUUUGUUUUUUUACAAAGGGACAUAACACCAUUACUAACCGUGUAUGAAAUAAGCCCCGCCCCUUCUUACCUAAUAAGGAUAUAAAGGGACGUAACUCCACUACUAACCGUGUAUGAGAUAAGCCCCGCGUCCCUACUAACCUAAUAUCAAAUAUACACGGUUUGCACGCGGACUCUUUUAACCAAUCAUAUUCCUGGAAAUGUAUAGGAGGUAAGAUAACUAUCUAUCUAACUUGCAUAGAGAAUAACACUUUCCAUACAUGCAGUAUCAGGUUUACUGCACAACUUUUUGACAGGAUAUUUUGUGUGAGCGUAUAUGUACAGCAAACUAAGCCAAACGGAUGACAUACUUACCUUUUUUUAAUGUAAAAGGGGGGGGGGGCGUCAUACCCAGCACAGAGACACUGGGAUUAUUUGAAUACACCUGGAUACUCCAAGUGGAUAAGUUUGAAGUCCAUCUAAUGCCCUUCAACAUCCUUAUGCAUAUAUACAAAAGAUGCGCAGCUAAUUCCAGAGAUAGGUUAAGAUUGAAUUAAUGACAUUGUAGUGUCGAGUCGAUUUAUAAACCAAUGAAAACACUCGACAUAUCAAUUACGUCUAAUGUGCAUACUAACGCACCCGUUAAUAGCGCACCCGUUAUGACAAUGUUAACGGAAACGUUUGUGAAUACCACGUUAAAUUUUAAAGGACGUACCCGUUAACGUCUCCGUUAAGUUAACGGGUCCGUUAGUUAACGGAGGCUUUGUGAAUAAGCUCCCUGAUGAUGAAAUAAAUGCUCUACUAAACUCUUUUUUCAAAUGAUAAUUUCCUAAACCAGAACGUCCACGUAAAAUUCAUAAUUCUCAAAAAUUUUGUAUGUAAUAAAAACCCAAAGCCAGUAAAUCUACUGGUAGUCUUUUCCAAUCAUUUUCUCUUUUUAAAACGGCAUUCAUACUUCGAAAGAUUGUUUGUUAUUCCAGAAUAAGGAUCAAACAUGCCGGGAUAUUUUUCAAUUAACCAUUUACCAGAGUGAUUUUGAAUUGCCGGAGAUAUAUGUUUAUUGAAAUGUUCUAAAACUACGGGAGUCCAUUUUGAUGUUAAUUUCAAUUUUGUUUCCAAAAAAUUCUUCUUCAUUAUCAGAAUGCAACAUCUGAUUCAAAUGAUCUAUAUAAAUCUUAAUAUUAUCACUAUCAACUUUGCCUUUUAACCAGAAUUUAAAAUCUUCCUUUAUAUGAUUCCAACAAAACAUAAUCGGACAAUUUGGAAAAGUAUCUCGAAUAGCUCUUUUUAAACCUGGUUCUUGGUCAAUGACAAAAGGAAUUUGUUUUUUGUCUAUUCUAGGAAUUUUAUCUUUCAAAAAUUUAAACAAAACUUCAUGCCAUUUAGCGUGUUUACGUUCAUGGAUCAAAAAUGCCAAAGGAACAAGUGGCGUUUCAUCAAAUAUGACAUGUUUGAAAACUAUCGGUGAUACAUAACAAUCGCCAAGUUUAAAAGUUGUGUCAUAAACUAAGUAAACUGGGUCUUCAGUUUUAAGCUCAAUUAUAUCUUUGAAUGCGUUUAUGAUUUCGGGGAGUGCGACAACAGCGUAAAGAUCUGGAUAUACUAAAACUUCAGAAACAAACCCAUUCACACUGCAGAUAUUUUAGCCAGAAGAGGUUAUACAUAAAAACACCUCUAAACAUUCGCCAAUUUGAUGAAAUCUUAUGAUAAGAUUUUGAAAGAUGUUUUGCAUCUUCAGCUGUCUUUGAAUGCCGAAUUUUUUCUGCCAAAGUAAAAUGUGAAUGCUCGACAGCUUUAACAUACUGAUACACAUGUUCAGACGAUGGGAAAGUCAUACCUCUAAAUACUAAGGUACAUGGAAAAAAAUUAGACAAAGGCGAAGACGACCCCUUAAUGUAAAUCGGAGGCUUUAUAUGUUUGUGAAUUUUAAUUCAAAGUUGAAAUUUUCACUUCAAUAUUUGUGUACAAGGGGGCCUUCCGGUCAACUUUUUGCCCUUUUAUAGUAUUAUAUCUAUUUUGUUCUUUAUAUCAUAUUGUUUGUCAUUUAAAUAUCUUUAAGAGUCAAUUUACAGACUUUGACCGGCUUAUAAGCUUUUUUGUGAAUUUAAGUUUAAUGUACAAAAAUGUGUUGCCUGAUUCACACAAAGAAAGUCUUCCGGUCAACUUUUCGCAUAAAAGAACAUAUUCAAAUAUAUAUUUUUUUAAUUUUAUCUUAUAGACCAUUAUGUUAGCUUUCAAAAUCAUUUUAUUUAUUAAUUUAGCUUUAGCGGUUCCAAAGAUAUCAGUUAUAAUACACCCAUUUUUCUCUUCCGCGUUUUCCAUUUCCGCGUUUUAGACCUUCCCCUAACAACGUUCCAUUGACAAUUCAACUAUUGGCUUGGCAUUUGUUUUCAGUUUAGGGUAUGACCAACGGAA